rnacentral:rRNA from 1 species
UACAGAGGUCCCGAGCGUUGUUCGGAUUCACUGGGCGUAAAGGGUGCGUAGGUGGUGAGGUAAGUCGGAUGUGAAAUCUCCGGGCUCAACCCGGAAAUGGCAUUGGAAACUACCUUGCUGGAGGAUUUGAGGGGGGAUUGGAAUACUUGGUGUAGCAGUGAAAUGCGUAGAUAUCAAGCGGAACACCAGUGGCGAAGGCGAAUCCCUGGAAAAUACCUGACACUGAGGCACGAAAGCUAGGGGAGCAAACAGG